UUCUUGUAUAAAAUGACUACUAGGGAAGUGUCUUACAUAGUUGCACAUGUAUAACCCAUAUCUGACUGCUUACAAUCUUGGGGAGGGGAGAGAAGGAAGAAAGGGACAGAAUUUGGAACUCAAACCUUUAAAUAAGAAUAGGAAAAAAAAUUCUGGGGGUAGAGCCAAGAUAGUAAAGUCAGGGAGCUACUCCAGGUCUCCCAGUUUGCCUGGAAAAUUGCAUGAAACCAUAGAGUCUAAUAGAAUGAACCUACUUUCCAGCUCAACAUGGACUCAUAAAAGUUCAAGAAAAGUCAGUCUCAUUGGGGCAAAAAGUGUAUUCAGGCCAGCUCAGAGAGACUGUGGGAAAGUCUGGUAAGGAGGUCUUAAAGCAACUCACAAUGAAGACCCUCAGUCCUGGCUCAGUAUAAAAGCAAAUCAGUGAGUCAGCUUCCAGUCCCAGCUCAGAAGGCAAACUCUGGGAAACAGGCUGUUUCCUGAACAGAGCAGUCAAAGUUUGCCCCUGCAAACCCAAGGGGCCUUUGUGCUCAAAGCCAAAGCUCAGAACUGCACAGAAAGGUUGGG